CGCCUCACGGCCGCCGGGGGACCUCGUGUCCCCGGGCCCGCGCCCGCCGAAGACCCCAACACGAACACUGUCUGAAAAGUGCAGUCUGAGUCGAUUGUUACCAAUCAGUCAAAACUUUCAACAAUGGAUCUCUUGGUUCCGGCAUCGAUGAAGAACGCAGCGAAAUGCGAUAACUAAUGUGAAUUGCAGAAUUCAGUGAAUCAUCGAGUCUUUGAACGCACAUUGCGCCCCCUGGUAUUCCGGGGGGCAUGCCUGUCCGAGCGUCAUUGCUGCCCUCAAGCACGGCUUGUGUGUUGGGCCCCGUCCCCGGUACCCCCGGGGACGGGCCCGAAAGGCAGCGGCGGCACCGCGUCCGGUCCUCGAGCGUAUGGGGCUUUGUCACCCGCUCUGCAGGCCCGGCCGGCGCCAGCCGACCAACCCAACCAUUUUUUACAGGUUGACCUCGGAUCAGGUAGGGAUACCCGCUGAACUUAAGCAUAUCAAUAAGCGGAGGA
rnacentral:misc_RNA from 1 species